rnacentral:lncRNA from 1 species
CUUAACUGGACUGAAGGGGGUCCCAGGUAUCAGCAAGGUUUAAAAGCUACCCAGGUGAUUGCAAUGCACAGCCCAGGAGGAGAACCACUGACUUAAGCAAAUCUAAAUGGGGAUUUUGUUCCCCUAACUCAGCAUCCAAACCUGCCUCACCACACCACAGCCUAUUUGAGAAAAAGCCAGAGGGAUAUCGCAGCACCCUCUUUGGACUGAGUGGUUUAAUACGCCCCUGUGAAGAUAGUCAGGCAAAGGAGCCAGAGGAUAUGGUCCCUGAAUACGCAGAAGACACGGGAGUGAGGAAAAGAACAGCUGGAGUUUUGAACUGCCAGCAGACCACUCAGGACAUGCUCCUCCUGACCUGCACCUUCCGUCACAGCUUGGGCCUGCUACCUGGACUCAAGACAGAAAAACAGCCCUGCAGGGAAAAGCGGACAUGACUAGCAACAAAGCCUUUUAAUCAAAAUUUCAUGCCGGAGCCCUCUCUACAAAACAGAUAACAGUGGCGCUGCAGUGGUUGGAGCAGAGCUCAGAGAUCUGCAAGAGCUUUGGUGAUAGGAGCUGUUGGCCUAGGUCUCAAUACCAAACACAUGAAAAACGCCACCAAACGCAGACUGAGGACCCUGUCACAGGGCAUGCCUGACUCUUGGUGGAGUAAAAAGAGCAAGGAUUUCACAGGCAAACUGAUUCCAGUGUCAAGUCUCCCACUUGCUCACUGCGUGCACUGAGGAGGUAAUCAAUAUUCCCAAGCCUCAGUUUCUUCACCUGGGGAAGAGUCAUCCCACAGCUGCCAGGUGCACCUCUAAGCAAAACAAACCAUCAAUGAACGCGUAUCCUUGGACAAUGGAUGAGCUUUUGAUGACUAGUUGUUUCAACAAUGCUGCAGUUGCUUCAAAUCUUGCGUUAGGGUAGAGGAGUAGCCUGGAGCAGGGAGAGUCCUCUCUGGAAUUACCAUCAUCCUUGGAACACAUUCUUAACAUCCUCAAAGGUUCAUUCUUUAAGGGAUGGAAAACUUUUACCCUUGGGGAUCAAACUGGAUGAUGUCAUAUGGUAUCAACAUAUAAAAUGUGAUUACAAAGUAACUUAUUAUCUUGUUAACUUGUAGGCUGUUUUUGAACACAAUUGCAAAAGGGAAUUCCAAAAUAUUUUAGGUAACUAAAGGAUCCUGGAACAGAAAAAAAAAAAUUAGUGGAAAAAUUGGUAAAAUCCAAAUAAAGUCUGUACUUUAGUUGAUAA